rnacentral:rRNA from 1 species
UAUUGGGUGUAAGGGUGCGUAGGCGGGAUAUAAAGUCAGAUGUGAAAUACCGUGGCUUAACCACGGGGCUGCAUUUGAAACUUAUGUUCUUGAGUUAAGUAGAGGCAAGUGGAAUUCCCAGUGUAGCGGUGAAAUGCGUAGAUAUUGGGAGGAACACCAGUGGCGAAGGCGGCUUGCUGGGCUUAUACUGACGCUGAGGCACGAAAGUGUGGGGAGCAAACAGGAUUAGAUACCCUGGUAGUCCACACUGUAAACUAUGAUUACUAGGUGUAGGGUGGCUGAACCAUUCUGUGCCGGAGUUAACACAAUAAGUAAUCCACCUGGGGAGUACGGCCGCAAGGUUGAAACUCAAAGGAAUUGACGGGGGCCCGCACAAGCAGUGGAGUAUGUGGUUUAAUUCGACGCAACGCGAAAAACCUUACCAGGUCUUGACAUCCAACUAACGAGGCAGAGAUGCGUUAGGUGCCCUUCGGGGAAAGUUGAGACAGGUGGUGCAUGGUUGUCGUCAGCUCGUGUCGUGAGAUGUUGGGUUAAGUCCCGCAACGAGCGCAACCCUUAUUGUUAGUUGCUACGCAAGAGCACUCUAGCAAGACUGCCGUUGACAAAACGGAGGAAGGUGGGGAUGACGUCAAAUCAUCAUGCCCUUUAUGACCUGGGCUACACACGUACUACAAUGGCGGUAAACAGAGGGGAGCAAAGAAGUGAUUCAGAGCAAAUCCUCAAAAACCGUCUCAGUUCAGAUUGCAGGCUGCAACUCGCCUGCAUGAAGUCGGAAUUGCUAGUAAUCGCGAAUCAGCAUGUCGCGGUGAAUACGUUCCCGGGCCUUGUACACACCGCCCGUCAAACCAUGAGAGUUGGAAAUACCCGAAGUCUAUUGUCUAACCGCAA